rnacentral:rRNA from 1 species
GACGAACGCUGGCGGCGUGCUUAACACAUGCAAGUCGAACGGUAAGGCCCUUCGGGGUACACGAGUGGCGAACGGGUGAGUAACACGUGGGUGAUCUGCCCUGCACUUCGGGAUAAGCCUGGGAAACUGGGUCUAAUACCGGAUAGGACCACUGCCUGCAUGGGUGGUGGUGGAAAGCUUUUGCGGUGUGGGGAUGGGCCCGCGGCCUAUCAGCUUGUUGGUGGGGUGAUGGCCUACCAAGGCGACGACGGGUAGCCGGCCUGAGAGGGUGACCGGCCACACUGGGACUGGGAUACGGCCCAGACUCCUACGGGAGGCAGCAGUGGGGAGUAUUGCACAAUGGGCGCAAGCCUGAUUCAGCGACGCCGCGUGAGGGAUGACGGCCUUCGGGUUGUAAACCUCUUUCAGCACCGACGAAGCGCAGGUGACGGUAGGUGCAGAAGAAGGACCGGCCAACUACGUGCCAGCAGCCGCCGUAA